AGAAUCAACGCUGGCGGCGUGCCUAACACAUGCAAGUCGAACGCGAAAGUGGAGCAAUCCCUGAGUAGAGUGGCAAACGGGUGAGUAACACGUGGGUGACCUGCCUCCGAGUGGGGGAUAACGUCCCGAAAGGGACGCUAAUACCGCAUAAUAUCCUGCCUUUGGAAAGGCGGAGAUCAAAGCUGGGGAUCGCAAGACCUGGCGCUUGAAGAGGGGCCCGCGCCUGAUUAGCUAGUUGGUGAGGUAACGGCUCACCAAGGCUACGAUCAGUA
rnacentral:rRNA from 1 species